rnacentral:lncRNA from 1 species
GCUAAUACUGUAUUCCCAGAAAUACUUUUUCCCUAAUAGUUAUGAGGUUAGUAUUUCAUUUGUACACAGCAUACUUUAAGUCUGUACCAACACUAUUCCACUGUGAUGUUAAAACUAUAAUUUAAAAAUCCUGAAUAAAUUCUAUAAAUAUUGCCAGAAGUACCCAGGUACCAAAUUAACCAAAUCAAAAGAAACACUUACAAAUGCAAAACUAAAUCUCUCUGUUCUGGCAAGAAUAACAAUAAAAAAUCUAAACCUUUUUGCACAUUUGAACAGGGAAAAUAUUUUAUUGGGUGGAGACUGAAGACAAUACGUAAUCAAUCUGCAGAAUGAAGAAAGCUGAGCCAUUCUAGCUGAUCCACUUGAGAGAGAAUCUCAGGUGUUCAGCAUAAUGACUUGGCAAGAUAUGUUGUUAGUCUUAUCUUGAAAGUGAUAGGUAUAUGAAACCAAGAGUUGUUAAAUCUCUCUUCCCAGAAGUCCACCACUUUACAAGGUUCCAAGAAGGCUUUUUUUUUUUUUUUUUCCUCUCCCCUCCAGCAUGCUAGCUAAAUCAGUCUUUAUUUUGCUUAUACUAUUUUGUUUAAUGUUUCCAUUAUUGGAGUGUCUUCUGCGUUAUGUUUCAGCCAACAUAGGCUAUGUGCAACUGGGGCUAUGUGUUGAAGGCCCAAGACCACUGCCUGCUUUCUGUAGAACAGUCUUCUCUUCCUAAAGUCCAGUUAUUAAGAAAAAAGAUUCCUUCCUCCACAUCUCAAUUUAACAAUUACUGAGGCUUCCUGCACUAUCCUGCACAUCUCAUGGAGUAAGUGACUCAUAGAAUCCCUGUGCUGCUGAGCAGAAAUUAAAAAGAAAAGAAAACAAAACCAAUUUACGUCAUUGAGGCUAAACUAGCCCUUGGAGGAAGCUCUCUCCAGGUCUUUGAAAGAUGUUCAGAAGGAUGCUUACAAAACAAGCCUUUAAAAUACAGCCCAUUUGUGAAGAUAACCCAAUUUGCAAGGAAAACUUGAGGACACUUGCAAUGUUCCAGAUUAAAGCAAAGAAUCACAGAAUGAUAGACUAUCCUGAGUCAGAAGGGACCUGCAAAGAUCAUUGAGUCCAACUUCUAUCAUUGAGUGCAGCUCCUAAAACAGUCAUUGUCACAGCUUGUUGGUGAGUUGUUUAAAAGAGAGACUCACAUGCAUAUUUUUAGCUUUGUUUGUUUAAGGGUUUAUAAAUAAGGCUAGAAAACAAUAAGAAAAAACCAUCUGGUUCUUCCUACUGGAGAAGUCAUGUCAGACACAAACUCCAGAAUGGUAAUAUAAUGCGUUUAUAAGGUUUGAGAGCUGAUAGAAGUCAGUGGUUUAGUGGUUGUAUUUUUGUCUGGUAAUGAUUACAUUUUACAGAUAAAACACUGUGCACUUGCUUAGGUCCUGCAGAAACACUGAAGAUUUCAGAAAGCCAUGUUUGUGUUUAAAGACUGAACAGAAUAAUAAUCUGUAAAACCUACUUUCUUUGAAGAGUUUGCAUUCUCAUCCUUUACAGGAAUGACUAGGAAAGAAAAUGUCACUCUGAGUUAGUGUAACCUUUGUCUUGCCUAGUCUUGCUUUGGUGUGUGAUGUACUGUGUAGCAGCAAUCACCAGAUAAGUUUUGCUGGAUGUUAAGCCUAAAGAGAUACAUAACCAUGUGACUCCUCUACCAUUCACAUUGUUUGUCCUGAGGCAGGUAUUCAGAUUUUAUAAGUGAUGAGCUCAUUGAGAUUUCUGCUUCUUAAAAGCACCUCAGGGACACAUUUGUCUGUUUGCCAUUCUGUAUUUAAAGUCUCCUACUCCAGAAAUUGUUGCAACGUCUCCAUUCAGCUAUCAGUGUAGAAUCAGUAGCUUAGAUUCCAAAAACACACAUCUUCCUAUGGAUGGUUAAUGAAUCAGCUUUGGAAAUCAAACAGAAAUAAUCAUGAGGAAUCUUUUAUUCAUGACACAUAAACACUUUCUGCUUUAACAAAAUUACUCUUUUAAUUGUGUGUUUGGGAAGUUUCCUUGCAAACUAAGGGUGUGCUGAGUCCGCUGUUUGAAAUAGUGGAUCACCCACCAAUUGCAGGUGUAAUGAGUGGUGGGGAGAGGCUUAGAAAAAUGAGCCCAUGAGAAUCAUAGACUGGCUUGGGUUGGAAGGGACCUUGAAGAUCAUCUAGUUCCAACCCCAAGAAUACAAUAACUGAAAGCAGAAACCAUGUUGGAAAAUAUCUGCAACACAAGUCUUCAGCAAGAAUCUAUUUUUAGGAGAAAACCAAAUUGCAUUUGGCUACAAUAGGAAUUCUGGACAUAAUUCUGCAAUCAGUUUAAACUAGUGCACAAGAUGUACAAAUGCCUAUUAUAUCUGUCUCACCAUAUUACAUUUUGAUAUUUAAACUGCCUGAUUAGUGCAGUCUCCCAUACUAGAUGAUAAUCCAGCUGAAGAAUAUUAAUUUUCCUAAGAAACAUAAAGAGAAAGCUAAUUUAAAAACAACAACAAGAAGAUAACAAAAACAAUUUAUGCAAGGAACAUUCUGUCUUCCUAUUAUUAAUAAUAUAGCAUGUGUCCAGGAAUUUUUAUGUUAAAGAAUUUGAAAGCACUUUAGAAACUGGUAAACCCUACUGUAUAUAGCAUCACACUGCAGUCUUAGAA